AGAGGCAGACGGUCCUUGGUCAGCGUCCUGGCUAAUCUGGGGCCAAGGCUGCUUGGAAUGAGAUUUUGGCGACCCAAGUCCAAGGUCCAGAUCUGUUUCUAAGGACGUGGCCAGAAACUCAGCUUUAUUUUUCUGGCUAUUUUUGGAGGAACGAUGGCCUCUGCUGAAAGCAGCCACAAGACUGGGCAUUUUUCUUGCAUGAGCUCAUUACAUCGUCAGUGUCUCCAUUUUGCAGAGGGGAAAACUGAGGCUCACAGAGGUCACCUUGUUUGGUUUGGCCCUUUUGGGGAACACACUGUGAACGCCAGCUGGAUUGCAGUCCAGG
rnacentral:lncRNA from 1 species